rnacentral:rRNA from 1 species
AUCCCUACGGGGGGCAGCAGUGGGGAAUAUUGCACAAUGGGGGAAACCCUGAUGCAGCAACGCCGCGUGAGUGAAGAAGUAUUUCGGUAUGUAAAGCUCUAUCGGCAGGGAAGAAAAUGACGGUACCUGAGUAAGAAGCCCCGGCUAACUACGUGCCAGCCGGCGCGGGAAUACGUCGGGGGCAAACGUUAUCCGGAUUUACUGGGUGUAAAGGGAGCGUAGACGGCGAUGCAAGUCUGAAGUGAAAG